GAUGAACGCUGGCGGCGUGCUUAACACAUGCAAGUCGAACGGAAAGGCUCCUGCUUGCCGGGGUACUCGAGUGGCGAACGGGUGAGUAACACGUGGGUGAUCUGCCCUGCACUUCGGGAUAAGCCUGGGAAACUGGGUCUAAUACCGGAUAGGACCACAUUUUGGAUGGUGUGGUGGAAAGUUUUUCGGUGUGGGAUGAGCUCGCGGCCUAUCAGCUUGUUGGUGGGGUAAUGGCCUACCAAGGCGUCGACGGGUAGCCGGCCUGAGAGGGUGUACGGCCACAAUGGGACUGAGGUACGGCGCAGAAUGCUACGGGAGGCAGCAGUGGGGAAUAUUGCACAAUGGGCGCAAGCCUGAUGCAGCGACGCCGCGUGGGGGAUGACGGCCUUCGGGUUGUAAACACCUUUCGCUAGAGACGAAGCGCAAGUGACGGUACCUGGAGAAGAAGCACCGGCUAACUACGUG
rnacentral:rRNA from 1 species